GGGUUGUGAGGUUAAGCGACUAAGCGUACACGGUGGAUGCCCUGGCAGUCAGAGGCGAUGAAGGACGUGCUAAUCUGCGAAAAGCGCCGGCGAGGUGAUAUGAACCUUUGACCCGGCGAUGUCCGAAUGGGGAAACCCAGUGCAAUUCGUUGCACUAUCGUUAACUGAAUACAUAGGUUAACGAGGCGAACCGGGGGAACUGAAACAUCUAAGUACCCCGAGGAAAAGAAAUCAACCGAGAUUCCCCCAGUAGCGGCGAGCGAACGGGGAGCAGCCCAGAGUCUGAAUCAGCUUGUGUGUUAGUGGAAGCGUCUGGAAAGUCGCACGGUACAGGGUGACAGUCCCGUACACGAAAGCACACAGGCUGUGAACUCGAAGAGUAGGGCGGGACACGUGGUAUCCUGUCUGAAUAUGGGGGGACCAUCCUCCAAGGCUAAAUACUCCUGACUGACCGAUAGUGAACCAGUACCGUGAGGGAAAGGCGAAAAGAACCCCGGCGAGGGGAGUGAAAAAGAACCUGAAACCGUGUACGUACAAGCAGUGGGAGCACCUUCGUGGUGUGACUGCGUACCUUUUGUAUAAUGGGUCAGCGACUUAUAUUCUGUAGCAAGGUUAACCGUAUAGGGGAGCCGAAGGGAAACCGAGUCUUAACUGGGCGUUAAGUUGCAGGGUAUAGACCCGAAACCCGGUGAUCUAGCCAUGGGCAGGUUGAAGGUUGGGUAACACUAACUGGAGGACCGAACCGACUAAUGUUGAAAAAUUAGCGGAUGACUUGUGGCUGGGGGUGAAAGGCCAAUCAAACCGGGAGAUAGCUGGUUCUCCCCGAAAGCUAUUUAGGUAGCGCCUCGUGAAUUCAUCUUCGGGGGUAGAGCACUGUUUCGGCUAGGGGGCCAUCCCGGCUUACCAACCCGAUGCAAACUACGAAUACCGAAGAAUGUUAUCACGGGAGACACACGGCGGGUGCUAACGUCCGUCGUGAAGAGGGAAACAACCCAGACCGCCAGCUAAGGUCCCAAAGUCAUGGUUAAGUGGGAAACGAUGUGGGAAGGCACAGACAGCCAGGAUGUUGGCUUAGAAGCAGCCAUCAUUUAAAGAAAGCGUAAUAGCUCACUGGUCGAGUCGGCCUGCGCGGAAGAUGUAACGGGGCUAAACCAUGCACCGAAGCUGCGGCAGCGACGCUUAUGCGUUGUUGGGUAGGGGAGCGUUCUGUAAGCCGUUGAAGGUGGCCUGUGAGGGUUGCUGGAGGUAUCAGAAGUGCGAAUGCUGACAUAAGUAACGAUAAAGCGGGUGAAAAGCCCGCUCGCCGGAAGACCAAGGGUUCCUGUCCAACGUUAAUCGGGGCAGGGUGAGUCGACCCCUAAGGCGAGGCCGAAAGGCGUAGUCGAUGGGAAACAGGUUAAUAUUCCUGUACUUGGUGUUACUGCGAAGGGGGGACGGAGAAGGCUAUGUUAGCCGGGCGACGGUUGUCCCGGUUUAAGCAUGUAGGCGGAGGUUCCAGGUAAAUCCGGUACCUUAUUAACGCUGAGGUGUGAUGACGAGGCACUACGGUGCUGAAGUAACAAAUGCCCUGCUUCCAGGAAAAGCCUCUAAGCAUCAGGUAACAUCAAAUCGUACCCCAAACCGACACAGGUGGUCAGGUAGAGAAUACCAAGGCGCUUGAGAGAACUCGGGUGAAGGAACUAGGCAAAAUGGUGCCGUAACUUCGGGAGAAGGCACGCUGAUAUGUAGGUGAAGCCCCUGCGGGUGGAGCUGAAAUCAGUCGAAGAUACCAGCUGGCUGCAACUGUUUAUUAAAAACACAGCACUGUGCAAACACGAAAGUGGACGUAUACGGUGUGACGCCUGCCCGGUGCCGGAAGGUUAAUUGAUGGGGUUAGCGGCAACGCGAAGCUCUUGAUCGAAGCCCCGGUAAACGGCGGCCGUAACUAUAACGGUCCUAAGGUAGCGAAAUUCCUUGUCGGGUAAGUUCCGACCUGCACGAAUGGCGUAAUGAUGGCCAGGCUGUCUCCACCCGAGACUCAGUGAAAUUGAACUCGCUGUGAAGAUGCAGUGUACCCGCGGCAAGACGGAAAGACCCCGUGAACCUUUACUAUAGCUUGACACUGAACACUGGUCCUUGAUGUGUAGGAUAGGUGGGAGGCUUUGAAGCGUGGACGCCAGUCUGCGUGGAGCCGUCCUUGAAAUACCACCCUUUAAUGGCUGGUGUUCUAACGUAGACCCGUGAUCCGGGUUGCGGACAGUGUCUGGUGGGUAGUUUGACUGGGGCGGUCUCCUCCCAAAGAGUAACGGAGGAGCACGAAGGUUAGCUAAUCCUGGUCGGACAUCAGGAGGUUAGUGCAAUGGCAUAAGCUAGAUUGCCUGCGAGAGUGACGGCUCGAGCAGGCGCGCAAGCAGGCUCUAGUGAUCCGGUGGUUCUGAAUGGAAGGGCCCUCGCUCAACGGAUAAAAGGGACCCCGGGGAUAACAGGCUGACACCGCCCAAGAGUUCAUAUCGACGGCGGUGUUUGGCACCUCGAUGUCGGCUCAUCACAUCCUGGGGCUGAAGUAGGUCCCAAGGGUAUGGCUGUUCGCCAUUUAAAGUGGUACGCGAGCUGGGUUUAGAACGUCGUGAGACAGUUCGGUCCCUAUCUGCCGUGGGCGCUGGAGAAUUGAGGGGGGCUGCUCCUAGUACGAGAGGACCGGAGUGGACGCAUCACUGGUGUUCGGGUUGUCAUGCCAAUGGCACUGCCCGGUAGCUAAAUGCGGAAAAGAUAAGUGCUGAAAGCAUCUAAGCACGAAACUUGCCCCGAGAUGAGUUCUCCCUGACCCUUUAAGGGUCCUGAAGGAACGUUGAAGACGACGACGUUGAUAGGUCGGGUGUGUAAGCGCAGCGAUGCGUUGAGCUAACCGAUACUAAUGAACCGUGAGGCUUAACCUUACAACGCCGAAG
rnacentral:rRNA from 1 species